rnacentral:tRNA from 1 species
GCUUCGCUGGUGUAGAUGGCUAUCACGUGAUCUUCACAAAAAUGUGUUUCGGUCAAGGUCAGCAGUUCGAUCCUGCUGUGAAGCA